GAUGAACGCUGGCGGCGUGCCUAAUACAUGCAAGUCGAGCGAACGGGCGAGAAGCUUGCUUCUCUGAUGUUAGCGGCGGACGGGUGAGUAACACGUGGAUAACCUACCUAUAAGACUGGGAUAACUUCGGGAAACCGUAGCUAAUACCGGAUAAUAUUUUGAACCGCAUGGUUCAAAAGUGAAAGACGGUCUUGCUGUCACUUAUAGAUGGAUCCGCGCUGCAUUAGCUAGUUGGUAAGGUAACGGCUUACCAAGGCAACGAUGCAUAGCCGACCUGAGAGGGUGAUCGGCCACACUGGAACUGAGACACGGUCCAGACUCCUACGGGAGGCAGCAGUAGGGAAUCUUCCGCAAUGGGCGAAAGCCUGACGGAGCAACGCCGCGUGAGUGAUGAAGGUCUUCGGAUCGUAAAACUCUGUUAUUAGGGAAGAACAUAUGUGUAAGUAACUGUGCACAUCUUGACGGUACCUAAUCAGAAAGCCACGGCUAACUACGU
rnacentral:rRNA from 1 species